rnacentral:rRNA from 1 species
UGAAAUAAACUCCCCUGAAAUGCAUUAGCUGGUUGCCUUGUGCGAACAUGUCUAUUGGUGUGAUAAUUAUCUACGCCGUGGGCUAUUUGCCGUUUAUAGCACUGCUUAUAAUCGUCUGUUCAUUCAGACAAUAUAUGACAAUUUGACCUCAAAUCAGGUAGGACUACCCGCUGAACUUAAGCAUAUCAAUAAGCGGAGGAAAAGAAACUAACAAGGAUUCCCCUAGUAACUGCGAGUGAAGCGGGAAAAGCUCAAAUUUAAAAUUCUGGCAGUCUUUGGCUNUCCCGAGGUUUUAAUUCUAGAAGAAUNUGUAUCCGCGG